ensembl:lincRNA
CUGGUGCUGGUUUGUCCCACAUGGUCCUAGGCUCCUGUAUACUAUAUACAUGCAGCACAGAGCCUGGCCAUGUAGCCAGCGAUUCCAUCUAGGUUUGUGUGAGUUCCCUCUAUGAUAUCUGCACAACGAAAAACUGUCAACCAAUGCAUUUUCACCCCCCAUCUUUCAGUGAUGUGUAACUAUAUUCCUCAGCCCAUGUUUUCUCUAUUUGUAGGUAUAAGAUAAAGAACAGCAAGAGAGAAGGCUAUGGAUGGAAUGUCUUCUCCCUGUGAGCCAAGGCCAGCACAGAGGCUGCAAGAACAAACACGUUCACGAACACUUGGGCUUGGGUUGGAUGACACUCUCUGAAACAGGUGCCCGCCCCAUGCUGCUGAGACUGUGGACUUACAGAAGCUGGACAAAAGAGCACUUGCUCUGGCAUCAGGGUAAUUGCAACCUGCUAAUAGCUUGCUCAGCACUCAGCACUUGUGGUCUAGAUGCUAUCUCGUUAACCUUCCUGGUGUGUGUGAGGCAAGUGCUCCUGAAGAUGCUGCGCCACAAGCAGGUACUCAGUCCUCCUGUGUACCCCAUGCAGAACACCUUCAACUCUGCAGCAAUUUUGCUGGGUUCUAGGUCCUUUUAAAGGAAAUGAUUUGGGUGGCAAAUGCUACAUGUUGCUGUGUUCUGGGUGCAGACAUUUAGAAGUCCCUUAUCGCUAUGUGUAGGGACAUUUGCUUCCUUCUAAUGACACUGAGUAAUAUAUCAAUGCCAACAGCCUGUUUGAUGGAUUGUUCCAUGCUUUGACUUCAUGGGCUGGAGGGAAAAAGCCAGGACCAAACAACACUGUUUGGUUGGCAUUAAUUCAGUUUAUACACUUCCUUAAUACCUGCAAGCAUCAGCAGGUGUCAAGGGAGGUGGGAAGGAAAGAAAGGACCACCGCAGCCCCAGAUAAGCUCUUUGAGCACCCACGUGAUGGACUCUUCUGAUGUCAUAAAGGUCUUUCCAAACCCAUAGGUGUUUUCUGGGCUCCCUGUGCCAUUGGGCAAGGUGUGUGUGCUUUCUGCUGCAGAGGACUGGGCAGAGUGGGAAGGAAUAGAGAGGGAGGAAUUGAAGGAAAGAAGAAAGGGGAGGAGAGCUGGAGAAUCUGUGGAGAGGAGCAGGGGGCUGAGGGUGUGUCUCAGCAUCUACUCUUCCUACUUCAGUAAAAGCCUCUUAUGACCUGAAAAAGGAUAUGCUGAGUUGUAAAAGAAUGCUGCAAAUUCAUAUGUAGUAUCUGCACUCUAGAACUCGUCCUAGAGUUAGGCACAGGGGCACAUACCUAGAAUCCCAGCUAUUCAGGAAGCUGAGGCAGAAGGAUCGCAAGUUCAAGUCCAGCCUAAGCACUUAGCAAGACUUUGUCUAAAAAUAAGAAAUGAGGGUAAACAGAUGUAGCUCCAUGGUAGUGCAUCUCCAGUCUUGGUUCCCAGUGUCACACACACACACACACACACACACACACACACACACACACACACCUGUUUUAUAAAUUUUAGAAGUAAAAGAAAUCCUCAGUUACAAUCUCAGUAAAAUGAAGUAGUGUAUGAAUGAUCAAAUCAAGAAUGGACCUUUUACAACAGUUUUAGGUUUUUUUUCUCAUUGAGUUUAUUGGUACAUUUUAGGUAUACAGUACAGUUACAUUCAUCAUUGGGAUCUUGUACCUUUACAUGACAGGUCUUGGUUCUCAUUUUUUCCCCAUGCCCCUGCCCUCCCUAGUUUUCUUUUAGUGUAUUUACAUCAGUUUCUGAAGUAAUGCAAAAGACUAGCUAACAAUAGCUUUUAUAUAAAAUUGGUUUUGAGGAGAGUAGUUAUUGUCUGAGGUCAGUUAUGAUCUAGAGCCAUAUUUCACAGCUAGUAAAUCAACCUGUAAUACCAUUUGUUUAAGUAGUUCCUUUAGUCCAAGUCUUGGACCCAGGAAUGGGGGCCCCAGGCAGAAGUAAGUCCCUAUCAGGAUGCCUGCUGAACUGCAUAAUGUGUACAGUUGAGUGUUUUGACAUGGACAGAAGGACUGACCAAACCCAAUACCCAUUCUUCCGUUCUUCCAUGGAAAAGUAGGUUCAGAUUAGCAUCAGUCCUACUAAUAAGCACCCUGAAAAUAAUCAGCCACCAUCCCUGAGGCUACAUUUCUCAUUCUGUGUCCUUGUUCUUAACAUGGGCCUAAUCACAAAGCUCUGAUAAAGUCAUGUGUGUUCAACAUGAAUUAUAAACUGGAUGGCAGGGUGACACUGCGGCCUGAUAGUGCUGAAACAGGUAUUUCUAGCUUUAGAAAGAUCAAGCUUAUGGCCUAAUGAAGGUCUGUGGCUGAUUCCUUAUCUAAAUUCCAGUGGCCUCUUUUCCAGCUUAGCAUACAACUGAAAACUUCCAGUAGUCGUUUGUUUAUUUCCAUUGCAUUUCAGUAAGUGAAUAAUAAACUCUUUGAAAGAUGCAUGCUUGUCCAUUCCUGUUCUUUCCAAAGGGACAGACUCUCACCCUCAGGCCAGUCCUCCCUUAAAUCCAGCCACAGUUCUUCCUGCUUUAAUUCCAUUUCUUUUUUCACUUAGAUCUUCAGAAGUCAUGGAGAGCAACUGUGUGUCAUCUCUAAAUCCCUCCAUGAACUUGCAAACAGGAAUGGAGUUCAUCCAUAGGCUUCUCUCUACGCCAAGCUAAACCUCUACUUGUAACGUUCUAUUUUGACUCAGCUUCCCCAAUAGUGAAUUCUUGACUUCCUUUGGCUUCCUCUCCAUUUUCUCUAUUACAUGUUCUGACACAGUGUUAGGAUGUGAUCCAGGGUUAUUUGUCCCUCACAGUUGCAGGUGGCCUGACAGUUACCACCAAGCUCUCUGCAGGGCCAGGUGUGUUGCUCAGUGGUAGAGUGCUUGCCUGCUGUGCACAAACCCUGGGUUCAACCCCCACCGCUAAAAAACACCAAACCCCAGGACACCUCACUGUGCUCUUUAGGGGGUCCCCUCAUAUUGUGAGAUGUCUGCAGUCACGCUAGACAUCUUGUGCAAUACAGCGAUGCCCAGUCUCUGCCCAUGAGUCUCUCCAUCCUAUAAGAAAAGGCUUUGUCAAUGCUGCCCGGACAGCUGUCCUUCGGGCCUCAUUGGCAGGACUUGUGCCCCAGGCCAUGGAAAUGACCGCCCCCCCACAAGGCUUCUGGACCAUUCACCUGCAAUAUCCCAACCGAGUGUGUCAAGGAGAGUUGCUUCCUGAACACAUGGGCUUCAAACAAAGGCAAAUAUCCACCAGCAGAGAUGAAGGGGCAGGUGCAUUGUUGGCUCUUAGGUAGGCAGCCAGCCGUAAGCAAACAGGACAAAAUGAUUGUCCAUAGAGUUCAAAAUAUUCAACUAAUCUAAGAGUUAGCUCCUUCUCUGUGUGUGUGGGACUCUGUGACUGUCUCUUCUGCCCACCACAGGGCAAUAUUGACAUGUUAGGGGCUGUGUCUUCUCUUCACCUCAGUUGCCAACUCCAUAGUGCAAGGACCACACCUUGCUCAUCUUUGUGUACCUGCCACCUCUUGCAGUAUGGGUCCCUCGAGGCACUCAGUAAAUAUCUGUUUUGUGUUUUCUUCACACUGAGUUACAUACCCAGCCCUUUUUAACUUUUAUUUUGAAACAGGGUCUCACUAAAUUGUUCAGGCUGGGCACUAAUUUGAGAUCCUCCUGCCUCAGCCUCCUGGGCUGCUAGGAUUAGAGACAUGUGGUACCACACCC